rnacentral:miRNA from 10 species
AUGUAUGUAUGUAUGUAUGUAUGCAUGUAUGCAUGUAUGUAUGUAUGUAUGUAUUUUAUGUAUGUAUG